rnacentral:rRNA from 1 species
CUCGUGUCGUGAGAUGUUGGGUUAAGUCCCGCAACGAGCGCAACCCUCGUUCCAUGUUGCCAGCGGAUUAUGCCGGGGACUCAUGGGAGACUGCCGGGGUCAACUCGGAGGAAGGUGGGGAUGACGUCAAGUCAUCAUGCCCCUUAUGUCCAGGGCUUCACGCAUGCUACAAUGGCCGGUACAAAGGGCUGCGAUCCCGUGAGGGGGAGCGAAUCCCAAAAAGCCGGUCUCAGUUCGGAUUGGGGUCUGCAACUCGACCCCAUGAAGUCGGAGUCGCUAGUAAUCGCAGAUCAGCAACGCUGCGGUGAAUACGUUCCCGGGCCUU